CAGAAACAAGUUCGGUCUUAUCCUUUGGAUGGAUGGAUUUAUUUGCUUUAAUGGUUUUUUUAUAGCCGUCAAAUCAAUGACACAGUUUUGAUUUGACCGUGAUGGCCCAAACCAAAUACCUAGCUAGUGGAUUUGUAUGUGGAUAAUAAUAUUUUAAAACACCACACGUUUGGCUUGAUUUCCGUUAUGUAUGAAACAUAACGAAUUUUAUCCCGAGUGGAAGGAAAAAAAUAAAGUGAUGAUAUAUUAUGGAGAAGCUAAUUCUCUUUUCUGCUUUUGCCGCAUGGGGUAUUUCUGAAACUACAAGGCGUACGCAAAAGAUAUGUUGUAUAAGGAAGGGAAGGCAAGCAAAUCCAUGCAUGUUUCAUUCCAAAUUGCUAAAGCAACUACAGUCUAUAAAUAGACGGACCAUCUGAAACACACAAAGGCCAAAACAUUCCUUUGGCUACAACAGAGGAAGCAAGUUUUCUCCACCAUCCAAUGUAGGCCCCACAAGCUUUCUGUGCAUGCCUCUUGCUGUAUGUUAUAUUGUUAUGUACUCUCCUUUUAGUAUAUAUAGCUUGUUGAAUGAUAAUUUGAUCCCAAUAUGAAUUUUCCCCCUAAAUAAAACAAGAAGAAAAAAGAUGAAACAAAUUUCUAAGGGAGGCAAUAUUAUUAAAUUUAAGUUUAGGAAGAACUCAUUAUUGACAUGUAUUUUGGUAAAGCCUCUUUUUUAAAAUAAAAAUAAUAAAUAUAUAUCCCAUUUCCCUUUUUA